CAUGACGUUAACUUUUCAUCAAAAUAUUCAGUAAAUAUUGUUGAGGUAGAAAAAGAUUGUUUGAAACAUGAAAAUCAGCAUUAUUUAUCAAUUGGUUUAUCUACUUAUAGAAAUUAGUUUAAUAUCUUCAAAAAGUAUUAAAGUUUUUAGAUAAAGAGGACUUUGUUUGGUAGCUGACGGUUGUGCCUCUCCACUUCGAAAUCCGUGUUGUCGCCCUUGUUUUAAAAAUACCAAUUUAAGUAGAUUAUACGAAAUUUCCUUGCUGCCUCAGAUGGUUAUUAUGAUUAGAUAUCUAAAAAGAAUUUUCACUUGUUGAGAUUUUCGGUGAAAGUAA